AAGACUAUAGACCUGCGGAGUACCUGCGGAGGGAUCAUUACCGAGUUUACAACUCCCAAACCCAAUGUGAACGUUACCAAACUGUUGCCUCGGCGGGAUCUCUGCCCCGGGUGCGUCGCAGCCCCGGACCAAGGCGCCCGCCGGAGGACCAACCAAAACUCUUUUGUAUACCCCCUCGCGGGUUUUUAUAUCUGAGCCAUCUCGGCGUCUCUCGUAGGCGUUUCGAAAAUGAAUCAAAAC
rnacentral:misc_RNA from 1 species